AACCAGCUGCAAAGUCUGGUUUGCUUGCUGGUUUGCACAACUUAAGAAAUGACUCCAGGCAAGUGAAGCUGCAUGAAACUCUCCUUAUGGCCACAAGAUUCGAAUGGCUGAAGCUGUGCACCUUCAGAUUCUCUAGUUGGGUUGGCAUCAUCACCAGGGAAGGAACUUUGCUCCCAGAAAUCAAGCUAUGAAGCCUGGUUUGCUUGAUGGUUGGCAUAACUAAGAGAUUACUCCAAUCAAGUGAAGCUUCAUGAAACCCUCCUCAUGGCUGGUAGAUAUGAAAAGCUGAAGCUAUGCACCUAUUGGAGCCACCAGUUCGAUUGGUUUCAUUAGAGGGAGGAAACCUUGCUUCCAGAAACAUGAGUAUUCCUUUAUCCCAAAGGCUAUCCAGGUAGACUUAGUCCUCCAGGUGAGUAUUCUCCACUUUACUUCUAGUCCCAGGCACCUUCCUUCAGGUUUUCUGCAAACCAACACCCGUGAAGUGAUGCCUCUUCAGCUCCAUCUUGUAGACUUGGGUGACAACAGAAGGACUGAAGUUCCAAAAUGCAAGAAAGCUGGGAAUAUCUAAGCACAGCAUCCCAUCGUUCACCACAAGGUGAAUCAAAAGUUUUGGUUCUAAAAAUUCUGGAAGAACAUUUAAGAAGAACAUUUAAGAAUGAUUGAAAAGAAUGACCUCUUUCCCUGCUUCUUGCAGACUUGGGUGACAACAGAAGGACUGAAGUAUACAAGAAGUUCAAAAGCUAUACUCCAUCCAGUGAGACAAAGUAGCCGAUAGGAAACUCUGUUAACACACAGCUUCAUGACCAGGGAGAGAAUUUAGCUUUCAGAAACGUGAGUUUUCCUUUAUCCCAAAGAUGACGACUUUCCAGGUGGAUUCAGUCCUCCAGGUGAGUAUUCUCCACUUCACUUCACAUUCCACCCCGCUUCCUCCAUUUUUUCCUGUAAAGCAACAGCUGUGCAUCGAUGCUUCUCCUCCUCCAUCUUGCCUACUUGAAUACUCAGAAGAACUGAAGCUCCAAUAUCUAAAAAAGCUGAGGAUAUGUGGGUGCAGCAUCCCAUCAUGCACAACAAGGUUCCUGCAGAUAGAUGAGGAGAGGUCAUCGAGAAAGCCCAUUAAUUCAUGCAAACAUCUCAGCAGACGUUAACUUCAAAGAAACUAAGGCAUGUGAUGUAGAAAGAUGAAACCUGUGAAUGCAGAACAUUUAAGAAGGAUGGAGAACAUCUCAACAGAAUUUAACUUCAUGGAAACUGUCACAAGGUAAGUGAUGUCCAGAAAUGGACCUUGUCGAUGCAGAAAAAGGUGUGAGCCUUCAGGUAAGAAGGAAUAGGUUUGGCCUGAGCAAGAGCUGGCGGGUUGGUGCUCUGUGGUCCUUGCUGACAUGCCCAGGGUAGCACUGACCGCCACUUUUGGGGUCGGGAAGGAAUUUUCCUCCAGGGCAGAUUGGCCUGAGAUCCUGGAGGUUUUUCGCCUUCUUCUGGGCAUCCAGCAGCGUCCACCUGUUAGGAUGUUUGAAAAAUUAAUGUAUUUUGUUCCUGUUGUUGUUAACUGCCUUCAAGUUGAUACUGACUCAGGGAAACCUUAUGGAGGAAACACUCUCCAAGCCCCUCUAUCCUCAACCACUCUGCACAUUCUUUUAGGCUCUGAGCUGUAGCCUCUUUAACUGAGUCUAUCCAUCUGGUAUGUGGUCCUGUCCUCUACCAUUCUCCUAACCUCUACCAUUCCAAGCAUUAUUGCCUUCUCUAUUAUGGUCACAUUAUGAAAAGGCUUCUAGAGAGGGUUCAGACUGGGUAUGUUCCCAUAUCCAUGUCUUCCUGUCCAUCCAUGGUACCCUCAGCAUUCCUCUCCAGAACAACAUCUUAAAUGAGUUGGUUUUCUUUCUAUCAGCUCACUUCACUAUCCAUUCCCCAGAUUCCUACAGGAUGAUGGCAAAGAUAAUACUUUAGUGUUUAUUGUUCUAGCUUUGCAUUUGAUGCUCUUGUCUAGUUCCUUCAUAGCUGCCCUUCCCAGUCCUAGUCUUCUGAUUCCUUGGAUGCAAUCUCCGCUCUGAUUGUAGAUGGAUCCAGGCUAUGAGAGUUUAUGUCAAACCUGAGUGAUCCUUACUGUUGUAAAAACCUGCCAAGCUGAACUCAGCAGAGAACAACAAGCCUCUGAAAGAAAAUUAAUGAAAGAUAUACAUAGGGAAUUUUGAAAUAUGAAUUCCACUUUCAAAAGGAAUAAAUGCUACAAGGUCUUCAGAGACCCAAAUAAGAAACCUCUUACCAUUUGGAAAUGGAAUAUAGUUAAGACAAUGGAUAUUGUUCACUGCAAAACGAUAGUUCAGUAAGUGUGUCCAGUAAGAGCUGAUCCAUUUUUUUUAAAAAACCCUGCUUCCUAAAAUACCAUUAGAUCCAGUAGCAGCACUGUUUAUUAAAUUUAAAAGAAAAUUCAGAAGAAACAUUGCGCUGUCCAGACAGAAUGGCUUUUCCUUGAUGAUGACGAUGGACUCUGGAAUAUGCCAGCAUGUCUUCUACUUGGAGAGAUGGAAGGAGGGAGCUUCAGCAUUUGUUAGCAUAAGGAAGGCUCUUGUCGACAUGCCCAGGGUAGCACUGGCCGCCACUUUUGGGGCCGGGAAGGAAUUUUCCUCCAGGGCAGAUUGGCCUGAGAUCCUGGAGGUUUUUCGCCUUCCUCUGGGCAUCCGGCAGGGGCUACCUGUUAGGCUCUUUGGGAGAUUCAUAGGAAUCAAGUUAAACUUAUAAUUUUAAAACUGGCCAAACUGAACUUGGCAAAUAGACAUAACAACCAUAAUGCAAAAUUAAUAAAAAUCAGAAU